rnacentral:lncRNA from 1 species
CAGGGCACCUGCGGCCAGGCAGGACGGGCCCGGACGGCGCAGUCACCGACAGGGCGAGUCCGCCUGCCCUCCGUCUUAGGGAGAAGGAGAGGAAAGUGCUGAAUGGAGGGCGUGAGUGCCGAGUAGGAAAAUGUGAAUGAGUCUCUCCAGCGCCCUUCAGCAUGGAGCCACCCAGUUAGCAAGUUCCAAGAUCCACGGGAAACCGGGCACCUCCUGCAAUUCAAGUAUUCCUAUCCCCGCCCCCAGCUGCCACAAAAAUGACUCACAAAUCGGAGGGAGGGGUGUCGGUCUCCGUCGUUUUGUCUGCAUUUUAUAUGGAAGGGCCCCCUCCCUGGAAAUGGCUGAAAGGGUGGAGGAAGAGAAGCAUAGUUCACGCCUGCAAGGGCUCUUCCCGCUGGCUUUUUUUUUUUUUUUUUUUUUGGUAGACAGUGUCUUCCUGUGUUGCCCAAGCUAAUCUCGAACUCCUGGGUUCCAGGGAUCCUCCUACCCCGGCCUCCCCUCCCAAAGUGCUGGGGUUACAGGCGUGAACCACCAUGCCCGGCCCCACUAGUGUUUUAGAAACCUUGUCGUCGUUCACAAACGUACCGGUCACUUCUUAAGUGUUAGACAUAACCUUGAUCAUGUUCCAGCGCCUCAACUUAAUAAACCAAAAAGCUCUCCUGUGAGACUGUCUAGCUCUCAUCCUUUAUUUCAAUUCAUCCCUCAAGUACUGGCUAAGUUAUUCUCCCAACUAAUCCACUAAAAAGUGCUUCUGUUAAGGCUCGCAGUGACACCCGUAUGACCGGGUUCAAAGGUCGAUUUGUAGUCAUCCUGCUUGGUCUCCUGCGGUGGAUUUUGUGGACUACAUGAAGCCUUUUUCUCUUCCCUGAUGUACCCCUCAGCCCACUUUUCUAACACCCUAAACCCUCAGAUUGUCUUUCUGUUCAGUUAGCCUUUCUAAAUCUGUUCUCUGUUGACUCUACGCCCAAGGAUCUG